rnacentral:rRNA from 1 species
UGGGGAAUAUUGCACAAUGGAGGGAACUCUGAUGCAGCGACGCCGCGUGAGUGAUGAAGGACUUCGUUUCGUAAAACUCUGUUCUAUGGUAAGAAAAGGACUGUACCAUAGGAGAAAGCUCCGGCUAAAUACGUGCCAGCAGCCGCGGUAAUACGUAUGGAGCGAGCGUUGUCCGGAAUUAUUGGGCGUAAAGGGUGCGCAGGCGGCUUUACAAGUUGGAUGUGAAAUAUUGUGGCUCAACCACAAACGUGCAUCCAAAACUGCAAAGCUUGAGUUAAGGAGAGGUAAGUGGAAUUCCUGGUGUAGCGGUGGAAUGCGUAGAUAUCAGGAGGAAUACCGGUGGCGAAGGCGACUUACUGGACUUAAACUGACGCUCAGGCACGAAAGCGUGGGGAGCAAACAGG